UACAGAGGGGGCGAGCGUUGUUCGGAAUUACUGGGCGUAAAGGGCGCGUAGGCGGCCCGCUAAGUCGAACGUGAAAUCCCCAGGCUCAACCUGGGAACUGCGUCCGAUACUGGCAGGCUUGAAUCCGGGAGAGGGAUGUGGAAUUCCAGGUGUAGCGGUGAAAUGCGUAGAUAUCUGGAGGAACACCCGUAGCGAAGGCGGUCUCUGGGCCAAUACUGACGCUGAGGAGCGAAAGCGUGGGGAGCAAACGGG
rnacentral:rRNA from 1 species